AGAGCGAACGCUGGCGGCAGGCCUAACACAUGCAAGUCGAGCGGCCGUAGCAAUACGGCAGCGGCAGACGGGAUAGUAACACGUGGGAACGCGCCCUUCGGUUCGGAAUAAUUCAGGGAAACUUGAGCUAAUACCGGAUACGCCCUUACGGGGAAAGAUUUAUUGCCGAAGGAACGGCCCGCGUCCGAUUAGCUAGUUGGUGAGGUAAUGGCUCACCAAGGCUACGAUCGGUAGCUGGUCUGAGAGGAUGACCAGCAUCACUGGGACUGAGACACGGCCCAGACUCCUACGGGAGGCAGCAGUGGGGAAUAUUGGACAAUGGGCGCAAGCCUGAUCCAGCCAUGCCGCGUGGAUGAUGACGGCCUUAGGGUUGUAAAGUCCUUUAACGGGGAAGAUAAUGACGGUACCCGUAGAAUAACGCCCCGGCUAACUUCGCGCCAGCAGCCGC
rnacentral:rRNA from 1 species